AAUACGGUUUACACUUAGCGUUUCCCCUCGGGAAUUAUUUUUAUGGGUUUUGAUAAAAGAGUGAGAUAAAUAUUUGGUUUAUAAAAUUCAUUUGAGUUUUGGUCACUAAAGAGUGAAGUUAUUUAAUAAAAACAAUAAAGGGUGUUGCGACGUGAAAUAAGCUGUGUUGGUUUGGUGUAGUGUUUUACUACAAGAAAGGGUCUACACGUCACCAUCUCUACUUUGGAGUCGCCCAAGCGCCCAGUUGUUUUACAAG